rnacentral:misc_RNA from 1 species
CGGGAUCCCCAGGGUUGGCUCCGGCGAGGCCGCCUUUCGCUUCUCCGAUCGGUAACGGUAAGAACCUUCCUUUCGGGAGACAGACAGGAUCCAACUCUGUGGGUAACCCGCAGGAUCAGCAGCAGGGGAAUGGAGUGAGCCAGAGCUUCGGGUUCGAUACCCAGCCAUUGGUUGACAACACCCCAUAUAAUGGUGGGGGAAUGAAAGGCCUGGAAAUUGGCUCUGCGGUGUGGCCUCUACUGGCUUUUGUGUGUUUCUUCGGAGGAGCUCAGAUGGUGUGAUUGAUUCUUGUGUGGACGCCAUUCUUGGUUUGGUGAUAUGUGAUAAACGAUAACAGUACAGUACGGUUGCUCAAGUGAGUGAUUGUGACAUAAUGGUUUGGUGAUAUGUGAUAAACGAUAACAGUACAGUACGGUUGCUCAAGUGAGUGAUUGUGACAUAA